rnacentral:miRNA from 1 species
GAACUGCUGAAGGAGGGCUGA